UCACCACUCUGGCCUUUUGGCUUAGAUCAAGUGUAGUAUCUGUUCUUAAUAGUUUAACCACUAUUAUGGAGGCACCGCCUCCAUUUCUGGUUAUCUAAUUUUUGCCGCCCCAGCUUCUUGGGCUCUGCUUGCACCCCUUGGACACGAUGACCUUGCUACUGCAGUACUGGCUUGUGUCGUCGGGGGAUC
rfam:Laccaria amethystina LaAM-08-1 unplaced genomic scaffold K443scaffold_491, whole genome shotgun sequence.